GAAUAUUAGUCAAUGAUCGAAAGAUUGAUCUAGUUACUUAGAAAGAUGAAGAUUAUAAAAAAAAGAGAAAGAAAAUAAUAAUGAAGAAUAUAAAAUCAAUAUAUAUAUAUAAAAAAGAACGUAAUGGUUUUUUUUUAGUUAAGAGAAUAAUGAUGAAAAUAUAUAUAGAAGUCUUAACCAAAAUUAGUGCCAGCAGUUGCGGCUAAACUAAGGAGGCGAACGUUAAUCAUUAAUGGCUUAAAGGAUCCGUAGAAUGAUAUAGUAAAAAAACAUAUUAGAGUUAAAUUGAAUAAUAAUGAAAAAUUAUAUUGAGAGAUGAAAUGUGUGGACAAUAAUUAGACAAAUAAACGUGAAAAUAAAAUUAAAGAUUUAACUGACAUUGAGGGAUGAAGGCAUGAUUAGCAAAACGGAUUAGAUACCCGAGUAGUUCAUGCAGUAAACGAUGAAUACUAAAAAAGAAUAAGCGAAAGCGAAAGUAUUCCGCCAGGAGAGUAUAGCUUCAAAGUUGAAAUCCAAGACAAUAGACGGUUACAGUUGUAGGCAGUGGAUUGUGUUAUUUAAU
rnacentral:rRNA from 1 species